rnacentral:lncRNA from 1 species
CAUAUUUAUUUCAAGAUAAUAAUAAUUUAAGAAUUGUUGGGUUUAUCAUCCCAAAACCACAUGAUUAUGACGGACGCCGUAGUGGUGGGCUCCGGAAAUUUCGACCACCUGGGGUUGUUUAACGUGCACCUAAAU